rnacentral:rRNA from 1 species
UACGUAGGGUGCAAGCGUUGUCCGGAAUUAUUGGGCGUAAAGAGCUCGUAGGCGGCUUGUCGCGUCGGCUGUGAAAACCUAGGGCUCAACCCUGGGCCUGCAGCCGAUACGGGCAAGCUAGAAUUCGGUAGGGGAGACUGGAAUUCCUGGUGUAGCGGUGAAAUGCGCAGAUAUCAGGAGGAACACCAAUUGCGAAGGCAGCUCGCUGGAACGUAACUGACGCUGAGACGCGAAAGCGUGGGGAGCAAACAGG